rnacentral:lncRNA from 1 species
GUCUGCUCUGUGUAUUUUGCUGAAGCCUCAAGAGGAGAGCCAGACGGUGAUAUUCAUUCCAGUGGCACUGAGCAGCGGACACCAGCCUGCUGGGAAAAGAUCCAACACCAUCAAUUCAUUUUCAUUUCCCAUGAAUGCUAUUGGCAAUCAUGCCAAAAACCAAACCAAAACCCGAAAUGGGUUUUCUAUUACCUGUACUUCAGUGUUCUACUGUGACCCAAGAGUUAUGGCAAUGGCUCUCUUUGGCAAGUACCUGCUGCUGCUUGUGGGAUGCUACCGAAGGUCCAGCAGGGCCACAGAAGGAUGCAAGCUCCAGCAGAAUCUACAAAAAAAAACAUUAAGAAAACAAAUUCAAGGAAGCAGUGGAACGUGAAUUCAAGAGCAGAAUGUGAUUGCACAAGGAGAUUCUACACCGAACUGAAACAUUCAUGUUUUGGAUCAUUGAGAACAAAUGAAGUACAAUACCGGUCUGUUCCCUUUCUAUUCUUAUGUCUCCGCUUUGUUUUACUUUCCUUAGCUUAGAUUUUUUUUCCUUUUUGGAGUCCUGCAGGGAGGAAAAAGGAGCCUUUGUUUUAAAAAGUCUGAGACCAACAGUGGCCCAUUGAUCAUAAUUAAGUCUAAAAUAAUACGCUUUUGCUGACCUGUUUGUAUUGAAUCCAAAAAAUUUUAUGUUAUACCUGCUGUAGUCUUGGUCUGCCCCCAGAUUCAGUUGCUUGUUCCUGAGCUUCUGGUUCUGGGGCAAUAACUUUUAAAGCCUAAAUAAACCUAUGUGUUUUCAGGGCUGCA